GAUGAACGCUGGCGGCGUGCCUAAUACAUGCAAGUCGAGCGAACAGACGAGAGUGCUUGCACUCUCUGACGUUAGCGGCGGACGGGUGAGUAACACGUGGGUAACCUACCUAUAAGACUGGGAUAACUUCGGGAAACCGGAGCUAAUACCGGAUAAUAUUUAGCUUCGCAUGAAGCAAUAGUGAAAGACGGUUCUGCUGUCACUUAUAGAUGGACCCGCGGUGUAUUAGCUAGUUGGUGAGGUAACGGCUCACCAAGGCAACGAUACAUAGCCGACCUGAGAGGGUGAUCGGCCACACUGGGAUUGAGACACGGCCCAGACUCCUACGGGAGGCAGCAGUAGGGAAUCUUCCGCAAAGGACGAAAGUCUGACGGAGCAAUGCCGCGUGAGUGAAGAAGGUUUUCGGAUCGUAAAACUCUGUUGUAAGGGAAGAACAAGUACGUUAGUAACUGAACGUACCUUGACGGUACCUUACCAGAAAGCCACGGCUAACUACGUG
rnacentral:rRNA from 1 species